CUACACAUGCGAGUCGNACGAAGNAGCAAUACUNAGUGGCAGACGGGUGAGUAACAUGUGGGUGAUCUACCCUUUGGCCGUGGAAUAACANGAGGAAACUUGUGCUAAUACCGGAUAAGUCUUUACGGAGAAAGCUUUAUGCACCAUUGGAUGAGCCCGCACUUGAUUAGUUUGUUGGUAGGGUAAUGGCCUACCAAGACUAUGAUCAAUAGCUGAUUUGAGAGGAUGAUCAGCCACAUUGGGACUGAGACACGGCCCAAACUCCUACGGGAGGCAGCAGUGGGGAAUCUUGCACAAUGGAGGAAACUCUGAUGCAGCGAUGCCGCGUGAGUGAAGAAGGCCUUUGGGUUGUAAAGCUCUUUCGUCGGGGAAGAAAAUGACUGUACCCGAAUAAGAAGGUCCGGCUAACUUCGUGCCAGCAGCCGCGGUAAUACGAAGGGACCUAGCGUAGUUCGGAAUUACUGGGCUUAAAGAGUUCGUAGGUGGUUAAAAAAGUUGGUGGUGAAAUCCCAGAGCUUAACUCUGGAACUGCCAUCAAAACUUUUUAGCUAGAGUAUGAUAGAGGAAAGCAGAAUUUCUAGUGUAGAGGUGAAAUUCGUAGAUAUUAGAAAGAAUACCAAUUGCGAAGGCAGCUUUCUGGAUCAUUACUGACACUGAGGAACGAAAGCAUGGGUAGCGAAGAGGAUUAGAUACCCUCGUAGUCCAUGCCGUAAACGAUGUGUGUUAGACGUUGGAAAUUUAUUUUCAGUGUCGCAGGGAAACCGAUAAACACACCGCCUGGGGAGUACGACCGCAAGGUUAAAACUCAAAUGAAUUGACGGGGACCCGCACAAGUAGUGGAGCAUGUGGUUUAAUUCGAAGAUACGCGCAGAACCUUACCAACACUUGACAUGUUCGUCGCGACUCUAAGAGAUUAGAGUUUUCGGUUCGGCCGGACGA
rnacentral:rRNA from 1 species